CCCGCUAUAAGUAACAGCAGUCUUCUGCAUUGACCAUUUUCUCUGGCCUAUCCUUCAUCUGGAGUUCAGUAAUGGAAGCAAUGUUAAGAUCCCCAACUCCAGCUUUUCAAUCAUCAACUUUCAAAGAAAUAACUGCCAGAAACGCAAGGCAGUACUGGACAAUGCUGAUGGACAGCUGAGGAGAGGUCCAGGUAGGAUGGGCCAACAAUAAGGAGCAGCAAAGGAAAGUAAAAUGACUGCAAAAACAGGAAAGGCAAUACUUCAUUGUUUUAAGGAUUUGUGGAAUAACUUAAGUCUUGCCUUCUAUGCUCCAAACUGUCUGGCAUGAGUCAUCUUCUACGAGUUAUAUAACUUGCUAGCCUAUAUUGCAGUGUCACUAGGCUCUGCAGGCCUUCCCACCACUACCAGGCGUGAUCUGUGGGGGAAGGAGGGCAUGGCUUUCCUUUUCUUCUGAGUUCGCUUUUUACAUUUCUAUUCAGCUCCCUUUUCUAUCCUCAUACUCAACACUGUUUUUCACCAUUUUCUUUUCCUCUUUUUCAAACAAUUCUGAAGCCAUGUGUUUGCUUGGUAUUGAUUUCUUUAUUAAUUGCUGUUUUUCUCUUCUUGUUUUAUAUAUUUAUAUAUAUACAAAUGGUUCUCAGAGACCCACCCUCCCAUGAAAUACCAUCAAUACCCUACUAAGUUCUUAGCAUGGAAGAUCAAUUGCCUCAGUGAUAAAUGUGCACAGUAUCGUAUCAGGAGGGGCAUAGCUGCUUAUAUUCUAAAGAAGGAGAGGAUCACCAUCACCAGAGCAGAGCCAAGAACCAGAAGCAACAUGUAAUCCCUGCAGUGAAAGUGACUGAGGAGGGCACCUGGAGAAUUACGUGGGGCAGCAUCAAAACUGGAGAAAGAACCUGCAAUGCUUGACGGAAGAUCAUUCAUCCUAAUGGAAGACUCGGACCAUUCGCCCUGUAGCUGCUGAGCCUGAAUCAUCCUGCAGUGCUCUGAGGUGUGCCACAGCAGCAGGUAACAUCUGGCAACAAGAGCUUCUCACCAGCAAGAGACAGGGGAAGGGCAAUUGCUUCAAUCACGGCUAAGAGCAACUGGAAACUAUGGAAGAGCCAACAAGUGUUGUUGUUUUUUAAUCCUUUAGAAGAAAAAAAAUCCAAUAUAUGAAAAAUCCUCCUGAAAAAUAAAUAUAUCUAAAUGUGUAUGUGUAUAUUGAGA
rnacentral:lncRNA from 1 species